rnacentral:rRNA from 1 species
ACGGCUCAGUAACACGUAGCUAACCUAACCUUAGGUCAUGCAUACCCUCGGGAAACUGAGGCUAAUUCAUGAUAAAAGUUAAACCCUGGAAUGAUUUAACUUUCAAAUUCGAGCCUAAGGAUGGGGCUGCGGCGGAUUAGGUUGUUGGCGGGGUAAUGGCCCACCAAGCCGAUGAUCCGUAAGGGCUCUUAGCGGAGAGGCCCUGAGAGGGAAUCUGAGACACUAUUCCCAGCCCUACGGGGUGCAGCAGUUAGGAAUCAUCUGCAAUGCGCGCAAGCGUGACAGUUUGAGCCAGAGUGCUUCUCAAUGAGAAGCUUUUGCCAAAUGUAAGAAGUUUGGCGAAUAAGGACUGGGUAAGACGAGUGCCAGCCGCCGCGGUAAUACUCGCGGUCCAAGUCGCAGCCACAAUUAUUGGGUCUAAAAUAUCCGUAGCUUGCUUAGUAAGUUCCCCGUGAAAUCCUAUCUCUUAAGGGUAGGGCGUGCGGGGAGUACUGCUUCGCUAGAGACUAGAAGACGUAAGAAGUACAUUCAAAGUAGCGGUAAAAUGUGUUAAUCUUGGAUGGACUCACAAUAGCGAAGGCAUCUUACGAGGAUAGUUCUGACAGUAAGGGAUGAAGGCUAGGGGCGCAAAGUGGAUUAGAUACCCAUGUAGUCCUAGCAGUAAACACUGCACACUAAACAUCAGUGCCUCCUCGAGAGGCAUUGGUGCUGUAGAGAAGUCGAAGAGUGUGCUACCUGGGAAGUAUAGCCGCAAGGCCGAAACUUAAAGGAAUUGGCGGGGGAGCACA